CAGUAGCCGCGGGAAUACAGAGGGUGCGAGCGUUAAUCGGAUUUACUGGGCGUAAAGCGUGCGUAGGCGGCUAAUUGAGUCGGAUGUGAAAUCCCCGAGCUUAACUUGGGAAUUGCAUUCGAUACUGGUUAGCUAGAGUGUGGGAGAGGAUGGUAGAAUUCCAGGUGUAGCGGUGAAAUGCGUAGAGAUCUGGAGGAAUACCGAUGGCGAAGGCAGCCAUCUGGCCUAAUACUGACGCUGAGGUACGAAAGCAUGGGGAGCAAACAGGAUUAGAUACCCCAGUAGUCCCUGUCUCUUAUAC
rnacentral:rRNA from 1 species